CACCCACUACAUAUAUAUAUAAAAGUCACACACUUCAUAUUUAUUCAUUCAAUUGAAAACUUUAAAUUAACAUCCCAGAGCUUAUUUUUCCAAAAAUAAAUAGUAAAAGAACCAAAGCUUAAUAGCAUAAUAGUUAAUACAUGAGAAUGAUAGAUCCCAAAGCCAACAAAAUCACAGAGAAAAUAGCAGAUAGUAGAGUCACAGAUGGUGGAACACGACCCUUAUCCUUCCUUAUCAUCAUCCCUUCAAUUAUAGAGUAAUUCAUGGCCAAGAUAUAAAAUGAGAGGAAAACUUGCCCAAAUAACUCAUCAAAACCACCAGCAACGAUCAUUCUUAUAAUGCCCACAAAAAAUGAUGCCAUGUUCAAGAUUAUUAUGGUAACCAAUGGAGCAAGUAACCUUGUUGAAGUUUGGAAAUUAAAUUUUCCCAUUUGGUAUAGCUUAACUUGAUCAUCGUCCUCCACUUUAUUGGUUGGCAAGAAACUAUCUUCCCUCAAGCCAAGAAUCUUCAUAAUAGCAUCUAAGCUUCCAUAUAAGUAGCAUGUAACUGACAUUAUCAUCCAUAUCGUUCGUUCAUUUAUCAUUGUCUUGAUUGACCCUCCGGUGAAGAAGCAUUCGCAUAGAUGUUUAACAAUGUCAGAUAUAAAAAUGAAUGAGAAUAUGAGAAAGAACGAAUUUGAAACCUCGGGGUACAAAGAGAUGCCACCAAGUAGACACAGUUGAGGGAUGGUUGCAAAACAGCAUAAAGUCAAGCAGUAAAAAAGUGGAAAAAAUGCAAAUUCUGCAUAGCACACGCUUUGAAGAAAAGACAUUCUUGAUGGCCCAUAUAUGAGAGGGCAGAAUUUUGAGAUGCCAAUUCCAACAAGUCCAGAGCUCCAUCUUGUAUUCUGAAUCAAUAGGUCAUUUAAAUUUGUAGGCGAAGUGCCCAAAAAACAUGGCUUUGCAGGGCUAAGGUACACUGAUUUCCAGCCUCUGCAGUGUAAUUUAAGCCCUGUCAAGUAAUCUUCUACCACAGUGUUAUACAUGAAACCAACUUUGUCACCCCAUUUUGAGUCAUCUUCAUACUUGCAAGAGGCUAAAACUUUGGUAUCUUCUACCAAUGAAGAGUAGUCAUCUGCAACCCUUCUCAAGCUUCCAGGCUGGUAAUAAUCUUCAUGGUGAAUAUGGCUAUCAAAUAAUGAGUCUCUCUUGAUGUAAAAGUUGGUACCGGAUAAGAUCGGACCAUUCACCCCAUCCAUGCCAUGCCAUUGCAGCUUGAACACAGGUCUAAUUUUAUAAUCAUAAAUACGAUUACUAAGAUUGACAUUGCGAAACAUUUGAGGAAACUGAACGAAUGCAAGCGAGGAAGAAAUGUUGGGAUCAAGGUGGAAACACAUGGCUAGCCUAGCCGAGGUUGGAUAAUUGCAGAACAUGUCACAGUCCAGUACUAAUAUAUAUGGGGAAUUGCUUAGUACACCUGAGAUUCUGAGAAGGACGUUAAGGGCUCCAGCUUUGAAAUGGUGAGGAUAAAAAGGCAUUUUCUCACGAGAAACAUAGACGAGCAGGGGCAACUUAACAUUAUCUUCUUGCAACGUAUCGCCCAUCACCUCAAUUAUUGGAGAGUGAUUCAACCUAUUCCAGCUGCUUCUUUCUCCAUGCCAACCAUUUUCACUUGUUCUCAUUAUACAUUCCUUGAAUUUUUCAUAUUCUUCCUGAAUCUUUUCCUUGUCAACUAUGAACUGGGUACUCCUGUGGUGGUUAUAUUCACCCUCACCACCAGAAAAGUAAGCAUUAGGGCACCUUGUCUUGAUUCCAUAUCUCCUGCAAAAUGGAAGCCACCGCCUUGCAAACUUCCAAGCCUCUCUCAUGCCAUGCAAAGUUAUAGCAGCACCAGCAUCAUCUGAUAAAUACACAUGAAGCUUCUCCACCGGGUAAUCCAAUGCCAUGGCGGACAAAACUGUGUUCAUCACCUCCACGG
rnacentral:misc_RNA from 1 species